CUCCCGAAAUGUGUAUAGUAACAGAGCAUGCCUGCAGCAGCAGGUCUCCACCGUUAGGAGACUUGUUGCGGGCAAGCUCUUGUU
rfam:Culex flavivirus, complete genome